rnacentral:rRNA from 1 species
CAGUCUGGUGCCAGCAGCCGCGGUAACUCCAGCUCCAAUAGCAUAUAUUAAAAUUGCUGCAGUUAAAAAGCUCGUAGUUGGAUCUGGGUUCUGGUUUGGAGACUGCUUGUUCAUAGUGGAUUGUUUUCAUGAAGCUUUGGGCAGUGGUACUUCUAGGCCGAAUCUUCCAGCUGUGUCUGCAUAAGGCUUCGGCUUUGUGUAGAUAGAUUCGUUGUGUUGAAGUUCCCUCACGGGUCUUCACUUUCGGAUCUAUACKCUGUAAUGCCUUUAAUCGGGUGUUCAGUGUGGACAGCACGUUUACUUUGAACAAAUUUGAGUGCUCAAAGCAAGCCU